GAUGAACGCUAGCUACAGGCUUAACACAUGCAAGUCGAGGGGUAACGAGAGGAAAGCUUGCUUUCCUUGUCGACGACCGGCGCACGGGUGAGUAACGCGUAUCCAACCUGCCCCCAACUAGGGAAUAACCUUGCGAAAGUAAGACUAAUACCCUAUAAUUUCCUCAGAUGUCAUCUGACGAGGAAUAAAGAUUUAUCGGUUGUGGAUGGGGAUGCGUCUGAUUAGCUUGUUGGCGGGGUAACGGCCCACCAAGGCAACGAUCAGUAGGGGUUCUGGGAGGAAGGUCCCCCAAAUUGGAACUGAGACACGGUCCAAAGUCCUACGGGAGGCAGCAGUGAGGAAUAUUGGUCAAUGGGCGGAAGCCUGAACCAGCCAAGUAGCGUGCAGGAUGACGGCCCUAUGGGUUGUAAACUGCUUUUAUACAGGAAUAAAGUUAGCCACGUGUGGUUAUUUGUAGGUACUGUAUGAAUAAGGACCGGCUAAUUCCGUGCCAGCAGCCGCAGUAA
rnacentral:rRNA from 1 species